rnacentral:rRNA from 1 species
UACGUAGGGGGCAAGCGUUAUCCGGAUUUACUGGGUGUAAAGGGAGCGUAGACGGCAGCGCAAGUCUGGAGUGAAAUGCCGGGGCCCAACCCCGGAACUGCUUUGGAAACUGUGCAGCUCGAGUGCAGGAGAGGUAAGCGGAACUCCUAGUGUAGCGGUGAAAUGCGUAGAUAUUAGGAGGAACACCAGUGGCGAAGGCGGCUUACUGGACUGUAACUGACGUUGAGGCUCGAAAGCGUGGGGAGCAAACAGG